GUAAAGAAAAAGGUAGGCGAAAAUUUGAUUUUGGGUCAAAUCCACAUUCAAAUGAAGAAUUCUUUUCU
rnacentral:tRNA from 1 species